GAUGAACGCUGGCGGCGUGCCUAAUACAUGCAAGUCGAGCGAACAGACGAGGAGCUUGCUCCUCUGACGUUAGCGGCGGACGGGUGAGUAACACGUGGAUAACCUACCUCUAAGACUGGGAUAACUUCGGGAAACCGGAGCUAAUACCGGAUAAUAUAUUGAACCGCAUGGUUCAAUAGUGAAAGACGGUUUUGCUGUCACUUAUAGAUGGAUCCGCGCCGCAUUAGCUAGUUGGUAAGGUAACGGCUUACCAAGGCAACGAUGCGUAGCCGACCUGAGAGGGUGAUCGGCCACACUGGAACUGAGACACGGUCCAGACUCCUACGGGAGGCAGCAGUAGGGAAUCUUACGCAAUGGGCGAAAGCUUGACGGAGCAACGCCGCGUGAGUGAUGAAGGUCUUCGGAUCGUAAAACUCUGUUAUUAGGGAAGAACAAAUGUGUAAGUAACUAUGCACGUCUUGACGGUACCGAAUCAGAAAGCCACGGCUAACUACGUG
rnacentral:rRNA from 1 species